rnacentral:rRNA from 1 species
CCUACGGGUGGCUGCAGUGGGGAAUUUUGGACAAUGGGCGCAAGCCUGAUCCAGCUAUUCCGCGUGUGGGAUGAAGGCCCUCGGGUUGUAAACCUCUUUUGUCGGGGAGCAAAAGCCGGACGUGUCCGGCUGUGAGAGUACCCGAAGAAAAAGCAUCGGCUAACUCCGUGCCAGCAGCCGCGGUAAUACGGAGGAUGCGAGCGUUAUCCGGAUUUAUUGGGUUUAAAGGGUGCGCAGGCGGAUUUUUAAGUCAGCGGUCAAAUCGUGGGGCUCAACCCCAUCCAGCCGUUGAAACUGGGGAUCUAGAGUGUGCGAGAGGUAUGCGGAAUGCGUGGUGUAGCGGUGAAAUGCAUAGAUAUCACGCAGAACCCCGAUUGCGAAGGCAGCAUACCGGUGCACAACUGACGCUCAGGCACGAAAGCGUGGGUAUCGAACAGGAUUAGAUACCCGAGUAGUC